rnacentral:lncRNA from 1 species
AGGCAGAGCUGGGCAUUUUGCAUUUUUACUGUUUAAUGGAAAAUGGUUCAUUAGUUGAGGACCCCUUGAAUGGUCCUAAGAGACCCUGAGGGUUCCUGUAGAGUAGUUUGAAAACCACUGCUCAGAGGAAAGGGAUGUAAUCUGGCUCCCCUGCCCCAAGCAAAGAAGGAAAGAGUGGGGUCAGUGAGCUACGCUGUCUCCAGACCCUGGUGAAGAGGAAGGAAGACUCCUGUGUACCUGGAGACUUGUGCUCAUAUCAGCCCCCAGGGCCCCCAAGACUCCAGUGGGUUUUACGUACUCUUGCCACCAAAUGAUUCUCUUCAAACACAGAAGAAAAUGUGAAUGUAUCGGGCAGAUGAGGAGAGAGGUGACAGAGGGAUCAGCCUUCUCUUGAGCAAGAUGUAAGGGAAAUAGAAUUCACUUACGCAAAUAAGGAAAGCCUUCACCAGAAGCUUCACUCGACCGUCCUCCUCCUUCCCCUCCCCUCACCCCCUCACCACCUUCCUUUCA